rnacentral:tRNA from 1 species
GGGUAUAGCUGAGUGGUACAGCGCAUGCUUAGCAUGCACAAGGUCUGGGUUCAAUCUCCAGUACCUCCA